UAGAUAUAAUUUAGCUAUCCGAUCCACAC
rnacentral:piRNA from 1 species